AUGCUCUGGUUUCUCUUCAGAACUAACAAAUCUUUCGCCUUUUACUAGAGGUUUCUGUGAAGAGGAGAAAAACGAAGUUUUGUCUCAAUUAUUCAUUCCCCAGCUUAAUGGGGU